GCUGGCACAAUGAUGACUUGAAUUUUUGCCGUUUACCCAGCUGAGGGUUUCUUUGAUGAAAUUACAUCAAAACUGAGAUGCCAGU
rnacentral:snoRNA from 13 species